ACCACAUGAUCACUUAAAGGCACUUGUCAGUUUUUCCUAUUCAUAAAUGGUGGCUUCUGUCAUGAAUUAAAAAUUAUUCAAUUAUGCAAAGCUAAAAAAUAUAAAUGUGAUUGUAGAUAAAUGUACCCUGAUGCUUCCUUUGCAUCCGUUACUGAUAUUUGUAGCUUUACCAUCUCCGGGAUUAUUCAGAUGAGCAACAAAUAAGAAUUGGAGUUGAUGUGACUAGGGUUAAAAUUCAUUAUCAUAGUUGGUAGAUCUUAGGAAAGUGUAGGA
rnacentral:lncRNA from 1 species